ACGCUCGACACUUACGGCAGGCAGCAGUGGGGAAUAUUGCACAAUGGGGGAAACCCUGAUGCAGCGACGCCGCGUGAGCGAAGAAGUAUUUCGGUAUGUAAAGCUCUAUCAGCAGGGAAGAAACUGACGGUACCUGACUAAGAAGCACCGGCUAAAUACGUGCCAGCAGCCGCGGUAAUCUGAGCGGGCUGGCAAGGC
rnacentral:rRNA from 1 species